CAAAGAGACAAUAUGAGAAAACUGCUGCUGCAUAGUCUUAAAAUCAAUCAAGACUUGCUGUUGGCUUGUAGACGUAGAUGGAACACUGAGAUAAGAACUUCUAGAAUUUCUCACGCCUAAGGACAACACCCCCCCACCCCAUGCAAAGGGGAAGGGAACCAAAUAUACAUAUUGGGGAUCAAAAUGUCCUAGGUGGAGUGAAAGGAGAAAUUCAGACACCGAAACCAAGAAAGGUGUGACAUGAGAAAGGGCUGCUCAAGAUAGUCAUUGACUAGAAAACUCAGAGAAUCCCUCCCUUAAAAGGUCCCUGUGAAAAGGGUCUCAGAGAAUGUCAGCUGGGGUCAGAAGGGAACAGGAAAGUGACUCAGCAGACGUUUAUUGCACUCCCCUUAUGUGCCAAGAAAUACAUGGAAUUCUGGGAGUGUGUAACACAGGAGAAAAGGCUCAAUGCCAAGGAGCCCCACCUAAGAGGAGAUUUGAAAUCUCAGCCUGAGAUGGGAAAAUGCUGGAAGCUUUGAGGGAGAUUCUCCAUGCAGAAACCAGUGGUGCUCCUGCAAUACCUGUUCCAUAGUCCUGCCUCUUGGAAAUGCAGGUUAAAUCUGAGUUAGAAACCAGACUUAUUGAGUUUUAUUGCUCUCAGGAAUUUUACAAUUAGUCUUCUAUCUUCCUAUUAUAGUUACAUUUUCUGAAGACAUGUAUCCGGAAAGGAUCAUUAUGUAUUCAAUGUUUUUGAAAAAAUGGGUCAGAAAGAAAUGUUCAUGUUGUAUCCCAGAAUAACCCAGUUGGGUUCCAGAAAUGUUUUGCUAAAUGGUCAUUUCUGCAAUUACAAAGUACUGGAAUUCUUUUUGAGUUGGAAAGACUUUUGACAGCCACCAUUUUUCUAUUUCUUUUCCUUUUAAAAUUCCUACUGUGUGCCAGCUGUGAUUGUUGGUACUGUAUUUUUGUAUCGACACAUUUUUCUCUUGCCUUCGUUUUACUGAUGAGAGAAGUGAAGACAUCCAAAAAAUCUGUAUUUUUCCUAAGGUUUUGUAAUUCUGAGAAAUGAUCAGCUGGUAUUUGAAAUUGGAAAACUCCAUGUGAAAGUCAAGCCUCUCAUUUUCAGAUGAGUCUAUUGAAGUUCCAACUGAAGUCACUGGUCUCAUUUAUUGCAGAUUUUGUAGUGCAGGGCUUCUGAAUUUGUGACCAGUGUGCUUACUGUGACGAGAGAAUCACCCCUUAGGACAGCCACUGCCUUUGGUUUCUGUCCUUUCCAAUGCAGCCUGCCUAUAAUCACCCUAAAACAUUCUUUCAUCCUAACUCUUACCACUUCCCUCCAUACACAAAACUUGUGGUUUCCCAAACUAUACGUGAUGGGCUCAAACUCUGUCCUGAUCGCUAACAUGUCUGCCAUGGAGCCCCAAAUUCAGAUAUUUUUUCUUGAGUUCUUUGGGCAUGUAAGAACACUGUUCUCCAGUUCAAUUCCAAGAUGGAAGAAAUGCUAAAGUAGUCCCAUGCAUGAACAAAAUAGGCGCGUUCCUAUCUCUAUCUUUAUUUACCAUAUUCUGCUUGUUGGUAUGCCACCUUCCUUUUAGAGCUAUAGUCCAAAUGCUGCCCCUCUUUUAAAGCCAUUACCUCAUUUGUGACUCUUGUGAGUUUCCAUGGUUGUAGGGUCUGUUGCUCUUGCUGAGGGAUAAGGGAUAAACAGGCUGAACUAGACCCACAGACAGAAGCUUGGAGAAGGGUAUAGUGAUGGAUGUCCCCAAGGCUAAUAAUCAACAGUCACAGGGUGGUAGCAUAUUGAGCAUGUGCUGUGCCUUGGCACAGAGCAAUGUUGUCAUAUCCUUAAAUCCUCACAGCAAGUCAUCAGGUUACUGCAGCUGGGAUUCUGGCCCAGUUAUGUCUGAAGCCUGUGCCCUCUCUUGCUAUUUUGUCAAUUCUCAAGAUAAUUGAUUAUGGGGCAGGAAAAGAAUGAGCAACCCUCUAAAUGGAAGAUUAAAGAGAUGAAACAAACUUGGGGUCAUAGACUGGAACAAUGCAGUAAGGAACGCUGGAACUGGAAGAAAUGAAGGGCAAAACUACAAAGGAGCACUCUUGUCUGUGGCCUUCAGUCACUGGAGACUUUUACAAAAGGAGGCAACUUAGGACUUGCAGUGUUUACUCACUCAUGCAUCCUGCUUUAUAUUUUAAGGCUCUGGGUUCCCGGGUUUCCUAAAGGCAGUGACUAUGUCUCCAUCUUUGUGAAGUAGAGACACAUCUUACCAAGUGGCACAGCAGAGGUGCAAAGGGACAAGCACCUGGGUCUGCCUAGGAAUGUGAGGAGGCUUCCCAGAGAGCUGAAGGGUCCUGGUAGAGCAGGGGACCAAAGUGGGGGAUACCUGAGGCAGAGAGAGCCAGACACACAUUGAGGGAGGAAAGUAGGAUUAAUUGGAGCACUGUUCAGGGAUGUGCCUACAUUGUGGGAGGAGAGAAGGCAGGGAAGGCAGCUUGAGGCUGGGCAUAAAUGGAAAGACCAAUCCCCCACCUCAAAUGCCUCACCCAUCCCAGACCACUCCCAACCCCUUACAAUUUCACCGGUUGCCUUGUUUCUGAGGCUUGGACACUCCUUGCUCAUCUAGGGGAUUCUACUCAUCUUUCAAGACAUUUUAGACAUGUGUCCUGUGAGGUCUGCAUUGGUUCCCUCAAACAGAAAUCACUGUCUCUGAAGUGUCUGUUCUACACCUCUGUUCUAGCACUAGUCACACUGUUUUGUCUUCCCUACUAUCGUGAGAGCUUCUUGCAGGGGGAGAAAUUUUGUCUUCAUUUUGCGCUCUCACUGCCACAUAGUAGGUACUCGGCACAUCUUGAUGAUGGAAUGACUGAUCCAGCAUUCAUGUGUCUUUCAGGCAGAGUGCGAGCUGUCAGUGGGGACCAACCGAUCUCUCUGGGGAGAGGGGAGGGGCAUCUCGCUAUUUGCUCUGUGAAGGCUGAUGGGGGCUGCAAGGUUGAGGCAGGCCAGCCUCCUGCUCAUCUGACUCUCUGCAACCUCUGCUACCCGCCCACCAGGCAAUGUGAUUUCUCUGCAUUUUUCCCCUUUGUCACUUUGUUUUCUUUCCUACAAGGAGUGUAGCAACCCCUCAGGAGUUUGAUUAUAUUGCAAGAUGAACAAGAUAUUCGAAUUAUGCUAUUUAAAUGAGUCAUCCCAACUCUAGUGUAAUUGUUCACCCCCUGUCACACUCAACGUGAUCUACAUUUCCAAAGGAGUAUUCUGGCCUGAAUAGGGAAUUGCUGAAAUUGUUGGGUUCCAGUUCUCAGUGGCUUAUCAUUUGCAUCACAGAGUAUGCCUUUUGUUUCAUAUCUGGGCAGAUGUGGACUUUUAAAUGGUCACUCACUAGAGCUACCAGAACAAGCUGCAUGUACUUAUUGAGAGAAGUUUACUGAUUUUCUGGAAGUUGUACGUGCGUGGUAUGCAUGGAGGAGCAGAGAGGAGCAGCACAAUGCAGGAUAGUGCAGAAGAAGAUGUCUGACUUUGGUUAAGCAAUUAUUGAACAAGCACAGUGUGACCAGUGCUAGAAAACUCAGGCUGAGCAAAUUCAGGAUUUGGAUUUGUGGUCUGAAACCUUCUUGCUUCACAUUUUCGUUUUGAGAGUUUCGGUUACUCUGAGAACCAAGUCACCAGUGUUCUUCUCAGCCCUGUUAUGCCUUAGAAUUUCUUCCAUUUUCUAACUGAACUGAAGGACAGGAUUCUUACAGUGUCCAAAUAGAGUAGGGCCUAUUUGCCUUUAUUGCUAAUUUCUUUUAAUGAAGAGAACAUGAUUGAGUGUCAGGUUGUCAAAUAUAACAAACUCCAAAGCAGCUCUCAAAGUCUAUAAAAAUCUCAGAUAGGAACUGGUAUUAUGUGGUCUCAGGCAUUUUGAUUAGUCAAACUCCAUGUGCUUGAGUCUAUGGGGCAAGUUCCCAAAGAUAAAAAGGAAUUAAACUUUAAAAAUUAGGGGUGAGCAGAUUUCCUAAAGGUGAAGUCAGUAUUACAUUUAUUCAGCAGAUAUUGAUUGUGUGCUGAUGUAUCAAGCAUAUGCUCAGGGGCUGGUGGUCCUUGAUCGAGAAGUUCACAGUCUAGUGUGGUUGACAGGCAUGCAAAUGGCUACUACAUAAUGGAGGUGUGUCAGAAAUGCUGUGGGAAAAUAGGCCACCAGAGUCGGCCCAAGGAGAUUGGGGAAAGCUUUAAAAAGAAUGAGGUGCUUUUGUUGGAACUUGAAGGAUGAGUAGUGGUGUCUACCGGGGUGGACAAUUGGAGGAGGAUAUGGUAGGCAGAAGGUAGGGUGGGCAGGGUCUCAUGUCAGUGACUGAGAUGAGGCAGUUAAAGCAUACAUAAAGGGAUUUGUGAGCUAAAGUGUGUUAGUUUUGCACUAUAGAAGUAUUAGUAUGUGUUUAACUGCAAUGAGCAGAAAUCCCCAACCCUACUGACAUAAAAACUAAAGAAAAAAUUUUUGCAUAUUUAUAUAUAUAUAUAUACACACACACACACCCAGAGGCAGGGCAGUUCCAAGACAACUGAAUUCAGUGGCUUAACUCUAUCAUUAAGGACUGAGGCACUUUCCAUUUUUCUGCUCUGCCAUCCUUUGUGUGCUGGUUUAUCUUCAGAUUUACUCUUCUGGUUGCAACAUGACUAAACAAGAAGAGGGGUUUAUUUAUUUAUUUCUUCUCUUCAGGGUCUAGAAGGGUCUUUUUAAUCAGUGAGGAAAAACUUUCUUAAGAAAUACCCCACCAGACUCAUCCUAUUGCCUCAGUGGGCAAUGUUGCAUCACAUGCCCAAUCCUAAACCAUUCACUGGCAAGGGGAAUGCAACCACCAUGACUGGCGCAGACCAAUCUUGAUUCAUCCUUUGAUGGUACAGGACCAUUCCUCUGAAGCACAUGGCCAAGUAAAGGAUACUAGAACAAAAUUAGGCUUCCGAUAGAAAGUAGGGAAAAGGAGACUAAUGGUUGCUGAGUUGGUAACCAUUAGCACUUGCAACAGUAGAUGAAGAGAAGCUAUAGUACACAAUUGAGUAGGAGUUGACAUGACCUGCUUUUCUUAUUGAAAGGAUAUCACCCUGUCAUUAGUGUAGUUUGGUUUUAUAGAUAGAAAGGUUGAGAACAAAUGGAAUAAUCUCACAAGAAUUCACAUAACUGAGAAACAUACCUAUAUAUCUAUCUAUAUCUAUAAUCUAUAUAUAUGGAUCUAGUGCUAAAAUAUUAUCUGAGUCAUGCUUUCUACCUUAAAGGUGGGGAGUGGAGUUUAAGGAAUGGGGAGGUAAAUGGUGCAGAACAAAGACUUCCCAUUUUGGACUUGUCAACAAGUCCCUUAUGGUACUGGGGCAAGCAUGAGAUCUCUUUAAAGUCCAUAUGAUAAUAUAGCCCAUUCACAAGGGCCAUUUUAAUCUUAGAAUCCUAGCAUGUUUGAACUAGAAGUGACCUUUAAGUCAUUUAGUUCAAGAACUUUAUUUUACAAAUGAACUUCAUUUACAAAUGAAAACAAGCAAAGUGACUUGUUAAAUUCCUAUGUCUGGCAUAUGGCUGCAAAUUUUCUCAACUCUAAGCCCAGAGCUCUUUGUAAAGCGUUCUCAGGGCCAUUUUUCUGAUGGAGGCUUAAGUGUGUGUUCAAGAGGGCUAGAGAGGCCGUGCUGGCCUUCUUCCUAUGCUUCUCUUAUCCUUGGCAAUCAUAUCAUGGUUGAUUUUUUUUUUUUAAUGAGGUUUUGGUUUCUAGGAAAAUGCAAACUAUAUAAGUAGAUAUAUAGUUAGUUUCAUUCGGAUCUUAGUGUGAAUGUGUCCUUCUGGUUUUUGCCUUUGAAACAUUUUUAAUUUUUAAAUGGGGACUAGGCAUGAGACCUUUGUGCACUGGGCAAUGGGGGAGAGGAAAGGAAGCCCUAGGAAGAAGUGCUAAGACGUGGAGUGGGAGAUUUGAGGUUCACUACUUUGUUGUGGGCUUUUCCUGUGCCACCAAACCAAAUAAAACACAAGAUAAGAGUCUUAGUGAGUGAGACAUUAAUAAAGGGUAAUUGCUGUGCUAGUGUGAGGCGGAAGCUCAGGUCCUUUCUCCUGGGUGCUCCAAUGCCCAUCAAUGAUCCAUCAUCACACUGUCUCCACACCUUCCUUUGGCUGCCAGUGUAUGUGCCCACAUCCCCUAGAACAUGCACAAAUCUUGGCUAAGACUUUUCUCCAAAAACAUCUGUAAAUUCACUCACGUAGACAGAUGAGUGCUUGGAACAACAAGAAGCAAAAAAGAAAAAAGAAAGCAAAACUGUAAAAAUGAUUUCAAAAUCAAGAUCUUACUGACAAAAGUGCUGUGUGCAAAUUAUCAAGCCUGAUUAAAGACUGACCAACUUUGCUUUUGAAAAUAUUUUUAAACUAUAUUAGUUUAUUUUUUCUGCUAGCAUGCCAAAUAUAGAACUUUUAGAUAGCAGGUGGGAUUUCGAUAAAAUCUUUAUAAACCAAGGCGUUCUUGAAUAUAGUGUAAAAAAGUAUUCCAUUUCUGUAAAGCAGUGAAAAGAUGGGGAAAAAUUCUAUACACAUUUGUUAAUGCCUGUGUGAGAUUAUUUAAGCCUAGAGAAACAUAUGGAAGGAUUAAUAUAAAAGAUUUAAUAUGGGUUAAGUUGUUAUAGGCAAUGUUGAUGUGGGUAGAAGAGAAGGGUUGAGGUAAAAGCAGAAAGGGGGCCUGAAAAGGGCAUGGAUGUCAUGACAUUUAUAUAAAUUUACAUAUAUAUGUAUAUAAACAAUUGCAUAAUAUUAUAAAAGUGAUCUGGUAAAUGAGUAAACAGAAUGACUAAUUCCCAUGUACACCUAAAUUAUAAUUCACUUCAGAUGUUUGGUUGGAUUGCAUGAUCAUUAAGGAGUCAUCAAACUUGAAAUUUUGUAGUUCUAAAUUAAAGGUGAUAAAAUGUGGAUGGGAAUGCUGUUCUAUUUUAAUUUACAUUUUGUUCUACUUUCAUUGACUUGUUAUAUAGUUUUUUAAUCUCCGUUCAUUUUUGCUAUCUUCCUAUCAGUAAAUUCUGAAUUAUAAUAAA